AUAGUACUGCUUAUUUAAUAAUACAUUCUACUUUACCUGUGCAGCAUUUCGGUGUUUGGAAGUCACAGAAUCUAUACAGGAGGAUCAAGAAUUGUGGAUUUUCAGAAAAUACCGUGACCAUACUAUCCUCAUUUUCUGCUAUAGCAUAAAAGACGCCCCGGUGUUGAAAAGCUAAAGAAACCCUUUUGUUUUACUGUCCAGGAUUCAUUGGAAGGUCAGGUAAGAGGCAGAAUAAAGGUGGCAUGGAAGAGAAGAGUUCUUCCUACCAUGGGAUGGAGGGCUGUAGUUUAAUAGCUGUAGGCGCUACUCCAAGAUGAACUUAGGCAGCUCACAAUUUAAAAUAAUUGGGUACAAAAGACACAGUUUAGUGUCUUAACUUCAAGACCUAU